GGAAGUUAUAUUAAUUCAAGAGAUGGAAUUACAUUCAAAGAAUAAUAUUUAAUAAAAGAACUAACACUAAACUUUGUAAGGUCUUUCAACAGUAUAUUGCCAAACCCCAUAAGAGAACUCAAAUUGUGAGAAUCUACUUUGGUUUUUCAGAGUGGCAGCAAUUACGCUUAUUUGGAGCAGCUUGAGAGCUUGUCUGCGAAAGGACGCCCUAUUCCUGUGCGUCUUGAAGCACUGCCGCAAGUGGAAUCACAGGUAGCAGCAGCACGGGCAUGGAGAGAACGGACUGGGCGGACGUUUCUUAAGAAGAAUUCUAGCCAUACAUUGUUACAGGUGCUGAGCCCCCGGACCGACAUUGGUGUAUAUGGGAGUGGCAAAAAUAGGAGGAAAAAAGUAAAAGAACU
rnacentral:lncRNA from 10 species